GACGAACGCUGGCGGCGUGCUUAACACAUGCAAGUCGAACGGAAAGGCCCUGCUUUUGUGGGGUGCUCGAGUGGCGAACGGGUGAGUAACACGUGUGUAACCUGCCCUUGACUUUGGGAUAACUUCAGGAAACUGGGGCUAAUACCGGAUAGGAGCUCCUGCUGCAUGGUGGGGGUUGGAAAGUUUCGGCGGUUGGGGCUGGACUCGAGGCUUAUCAGCUUGUUGGUGAGGUAGGGGCUUACCAAGGCUAUGACGGGUAGGCGGCCUGGGAGGGUGAACGGCGACCUUGGGACUGCGAUACGGCGCAGACGGCUACGGGAGGCAGCAGUGGGGAAUAUUGCACAAUGGGCGGAAGCCUGAUACAGCGACGCCGCGUGCGGGAUGCCGGCCUUCGGGUUGUAAACCGCUUUCGACGGUGACGAGGCGUGAGUGACGGUAAUGGGUAAAAAAGCACCGGCUAACUACGUG
rnacentral:rRNA from 1 species